rnacentral:snoRNA from 1 species
UGCAGUCUUGUCAAAUUCCAUUUUUCCUCUUCCAUGGACCGCAUUGGCGAAAAUGGCUGCCACAUUGAACCUGUAGUUCAUGGGCCUCAUUUCUUUUCAUUGGAUAUUGGGGAUACAUUUCAACUACAGACAAUU